GACAUAGGUGGCGAACGUUAUCCGGAAUUAUUGGGCGUAAAGAGCUCGUAGGCGGUUUGUCGCGUCUGCUGUGAAAACCUAAGGCUCAACCUUGGGCUUGCAGUGGGUACGGGCAGACUAGAGUGCGGUAGGGGUGACUGGAAUUCCUGGUGUAGCGGUGGAAUGCGCAGAUAUCAGGAGGAACACCGAUGGCGAAGGCAGGUCACUGGGCCGCAACUGACGCUGAGGAGCGAAAGCGUGGGGAGCGAACAGG
rnacentral:rRNA from 1 species